CAAGCGGUGGAGCAUGUGGUUUAAUUCGAUGCAACGCGAAGAACCUUACCUGGUCUUGACAUCCACAGAAUCUUGCAGAGAUGCGAGAGUGCCUUCGGGAACUGUGAGACAGGUGCUGCAUGGCUGUCGUCAGCUCGUGUUGUGAAAUGUUGGGUUAAGUCCCGCAACGAGCGCAACCCUUAUCCUUUGUUGCCAUUGGUUCGGCCGGGAACUCAAAGGAGACUGCCGUUGAUAAACCGGAGGAAGGUGGGGACGACGUCAAGUCAUCAUGGCCCUUACGACCAGGGCUACACACGUGCUACAAUGGCGUAUACAAAGGGAAGCGACCUCGCGAGAGCAAGCGGACCUCAUAAAGUGCGUCUAAGUCCGGAUUGGAGUCUGCAACUCGACUCCAUGAAGUCGGAAUCGCUAGUAAUCGUGAAUCAGAAUGCCACGGUGAAUACGUUCCCGGGCCUUGUACACACC
rnacentral:rRNA from 1 species